rnacentral:rRNA from 1 species
UACGAAGGGGGCUAGCGUUGUUCGGAAUUACUGGGCGUAAAGCGCGCGCAGGCGGUCUUCCAAGUCAGUGGUGAAAGCCCGGAGCUCAACUCCGGAACUGCCAUUGAAACUGUUGGACUUGAGUAUGAGAGAGGUGAGUGGAAUUCCCAGUGUAGAGGUGAAAUUCGUAGAUAUUCGCAAGAACACCAGUGGCGAAGGCGGCUCACUGGCCCGAUACUGACGCUGAGGCACGAAAGCGUGGGGAGCAAACAGG